rnacentral:rRNA from 1 species
UACAGAGGUCCCAAGCGUUGUUCGGAUUCAUUGGGCGUAAAGGGUGCGUAGGUGGUCGGGUAAGUCUGAGGUGAAAUCUCCGAGCUCAACUCGGAAACUGCCUUGGAUACUAUCCGGCUUGAGGGUUGGAGGGGGGACUGGAAUUCUCGGUGUAGCAGUGAAAUGCGUAGAUAUCGAGAGGAACACCAGUGGCGAAGGCGAGUCCCUGGACAACUCCUGACGCUGAGGCACGAAAGCUAGGGGAGCAAACAGG